rnacentral:ncRNA from 1 species
GGUCGGAUAAGGCGUUCAUGCCGCAUCUGACAAUAACAGCAUUGCCUGAUGCGACGCUGUUGUGUCUUAUCAGGCC